rnacentral:rRNA from 1 species
GACGAACUCUGGCGGCGUGCUUAACACAUGCAAGUCGAACGGUAAGGCUCCAGCUUGCUGGGGUACACGAGUGGCGAACGGGUGAGUAACACGUGGGUGACCUGCCCUGCACUUCGGGAUAAGCCUGGGAAACUGGGUCUAAUACCGGAUAGGACCGCACCGUGAGGGUGUGGUGGAAAGUUUUUUCGGUGUGGGAUGGGCCCGCGGCCUAUCAGCUUGUUGGUGGGGUAAUGGCCUACCAAGGCGGCGACGGGUAGCCGGCCUGAGAGGGUGGACGGCCACAUUGGGACUGAGACACGGCCCAGACUCCUACGGGAGGCAGCAGUGGGGAAUAUUGCACAAUGGGCGGAAGCCUGAUGCAGCGACGCCGCGUGGGGGAUGACGGCCUUCGGGUUGUAAACUCCUUUCACCAUCGACGAAGGGUUUCUGACGGUAGAUGGAGAAGAAGCACCGGCUAACUACGUGCCAGCAGCCGCGGUAAUACGUAGGGUGCGAGCGUUGUCCGGAAUUACUGGGCGUAAAGAGCUCGUAGGUGGUUUGUCGCGUCGUCUGUGAAAUUCCGGGGCUUAACUCCGGGCGUGCAGGCGAUACGGGCAUAACUUGAGUACUGUAGGGGAGACUGGAAUUCCUGGUGUAGCGGUGAAAUGCGCAGAUAUCAGGAGGAACACCGGUGGCGAAGGCGGGUCUCUGGGCAGUAACUGACGCUGAGGAGCGAAAGCAUGGGGAGCGAACAGGAUUAGAUACCCUGGUAGUCCAUGCCGUAAACGGUGGGCGCUAGGUGUGGGUUUCCUUCCACGGGAUCCGUGCCGUAGCUAACGCAUUAAGCGCCCCGCCUGGGGAGUACGGCCGCAAGGCUAAAACUCAAAGGAAUUGACGGGGGCCCGCACAAGCGGCGGAGCAUGUGGAUUAAUUCGAUGCAACGCGAAGAACCUUACCUGGGCUUGACAUAUACAGGAUCGCGCCAGAGAUGGUGUUUCCCUUGUGGCUUGUAUACAGGUGGUGCAUGGUUGUCGUCAGCUCGUGUCGUGAGAUGUUGGGUUAAGUCCCGCAACGAGCGCAACCCUUGUCUUAUGUUGCCAGCACGUUGUGGUGGGGACUCGUAAGAAACUGCCGGGGUUAACUCGGAGGAAGGUGGGGAUGACGUCAAAUCAUCAUGCCCCUUAUGUCCAGGGCUUCACACAUGCUACAAUGGUCGGUACAGUGGGUUGCCAGUCCGUGAGGGCGAGCUAAUCCCGCAAAGCCGGUCUCAGUUCGGAUCGGGGUCUGCAACUCGACCCCGUGAAGUCGGAGUCGCUAGUAAUCGCAGAUUAGCAACGCUGCGGUGAAUACGUUCCCGGGUCU